CGUAGUAAUAUAUGAAUAUUCACACGUUAUCCAUCGACUAUGCCUUUCGGCCUGAUCUUAAGCCGAGACCCACGCUCCGUGGACAAACCUUGCGGAGGAACCCUUAGGUUUUCAGUGUAUUGGAUUCUCACCAAUGUUUGCGUUAUUCAAGCCAACAUUCUUGCUUCUGUUUAACCACCACUACUCGCGCGAGUGCUUCCUUAUUAGAUGGAACACUCCCCCGUUG
rnacentral:lncRNA from 1 species